UACGGAGGAUGCAAGCGUUAUCCGGAUUUAUUGGGUUUAAAGGGUCCGUAGGCGGAUUUUUAAGUCAGUGGUGAAAGCCUGCAGCUUAACUGCAGAACUGCCGUUGAUACUGGGAGUCUUGAGUAUAUUUGAAGUGGGCGGAAUACGUCAUGUAGCGGUGAAAUGCAUAGAUAUGACGUGGAACACCGAUUGCGAAGGCAGCUCACUAAACUAUAACUGACGCUGAGGGACGAAAGCGUGGGGAGCAAACAGGAUUAGAUACCCUGGUAGUCCACGCUGUAAACGAUGAUAACUCGCUGUUAGCGAUAUACAGUUAGCGGCUAAGCGAAAGCGUUAAGUUAUCCACCUGGGGAGUACGUUCGCAAGAAUGAA
rnacentral:rRNA from 1 species